rnacentral:rRNA from 1 species
UAACACGUAUCCAACCUGCCGUCUACUCUUGGACAGCCUUCUGAAAGGAAGAUUAAUACAAGAUGGCAUCAUGAGUCCACAUGUUCACAUGAUUAAAGGUAUUCCGGUAGACGAUGGGGAUGCGUUCCAUUAGAUAGUAGGCGGGGUAACGGCCCACCUAGUCUUCGAUGGAUAGGGGUUCUGAGAGGAAGGUCCCCCACAUUGGAACUGAGACACGGUCCAAACUCCUACGGGAGGCAGCAGUGAGGAAUAUUGGUCAAUGGGCGAGAGCCUGAACCAGCCAAGUAGCGUGAAGGAUGACUGCCCUAUGGGUUGUAAACUUCUUUUAUAAAGGAAUAAAGUCGGGUAUGGAUACCCGUUUGCAUGUACUUUAUGAAUAAGGAUCGGCUAACUCCGUGCCAGCAGCCGCGGUAAUCCGGAGGAUCCGAGCGUUAUCCGGAUUUAUUGGGUUUAAAGGGAGCGUAGAUGGAUGUUUAAGUCAGUUGUGUAAGUUUGCGGCUCAACCGUAAAAUUGCAGUUGAUACUGGAUAUCUUGAGUGCAGUUGAGGCAGGCGGAAUUCGUGGUGUAGCGGUGAAAUGCUUAGAUAUCACGAAGAACUCCGAUUGCGAAGGCAGCCUGCUAAGCUGCAACUGACAUUGAGGCUCGAAAGUGUGGGUAUCAAACAGGAUUAGAUACCCUGGUAGUCCACACGGUAAACGAUGAAUACUCGCUGU